AGAUUGAACGCUGGCGGCGUGCCUAACACAUGCAAGUCGAGCGGUAACAGGUGUAGCAAUACAUGCUGACGAGCGGCGAACGGGUGAGUAAUGCUUUGGAAUCUUCCCAGUAGUGGGGAAUAACCAGUCGAAAGAUUGGCUAAUACCGCAUACGUCUGUAAAGGGAAAGCGGGGGCUCGUAAGACCUCGCGCUAUUGGAUGAGCCAAAGUCGGAUUAGCUAGUUGGUGGGGUAAUGGCCUACCAAGGCGACAAUCCGUAGCUGGUCUGAGAGGACGACCAGCCACACCGGAACUGAGACACGGUCCGGACUCCUACGGGAGGCAGCAGUGGGGAAUAUUGCGCAAUGGGCGAAAGCCUGACGCAGCGACGCCGCGUGAGGGAUGAAGGCCUUCGGGUUGUAAACCUCUUUCAGCAGGGACGAAGCGAAAGUGACGGUACCUGCAGAAGAAGCACCGGCCAACUCUGUGCCAGCAGCCGC
rnacentral:rRNA from 1 species